GGGGAUGUUGUGCCAUGGUAGCAGGUAUGCUUUGCAUGUAUGAGGCCCAGGGUUCAAUCCCCUGCGUCUGCA